rnacentral:rRNA from 1 species
GACGAACGCUGGCGGCGUGCUUAACACAUGCAAGUCGAACGGUGAAGGAGGGAGCUUGCUCCUUCUGGAUCAGUGGCGAACGGGUGAGUAACACGUGAGUAACCUGCCCCAGACUCUGGGAUAAGCGCUGGAAACGGCGUCUAAUACCGGAUACGAGCUUCAGCCGCAUGGCUAGGAGCUGGAAAGAAUUUCGGUCUGGGAUGGACUCGCGGCCUAUCAGCUUGUUGGUGAGGUAACGGCUCACCAAGGCGACGACGGGUAGCCGGCCUGAGAGGGGGACCGGCCACACUGGGACUGAGACACGGCCCAGACUCCUACGGGAGGCAGCAGUGGGGAAUAUUGCGCAAUGGGCGAAAGCCUGACGCAGCAACGCCGCGUGAGGGAUGACGGCCUUCGGGUUGUAAACCUCUUUCAGCAGGGAAGAAGCGAAAGUGACGGUACCUGCAGAAGAAGCACCGGCUAACUACGUGCCAGCCGCCGCCGUAA